CUGGAAGAUGAAGUUCAACGGUGUCACUGCCUUGUUCUCUACGCCACUUAUAAAUAGGAUCAAAAUCCUCAUAAGUCCGAUUAUGUGCAUGCUUGCUUUCCAUUUUAUUUCACAACAAAGUCUUAAUUUGGUGCUUGAUUGAUCGAUGAUCAAUAAAUUUAUUAGGUUGAAGGAAUUAAACCUACUAAUGAAGGGUACAAGGGCUUUCAAAUUUGCCUUAAAGAGUUGGUCAUAAGCUAGAAUUAUUCUUUGUUAACCUUUCCAAGUCUUGGCAGCUUGAGGAUUUGGGGUAUAG
rnacentral:lncRNA from 1 species